UACGUAGGGGGCAAGCGUUAUCCGGAUUUACUGGGUGUAAAGGGAGCGUAGGCGGCCAUGCAAGUCUGAAGUGAAGGCCCGGGGCUCAACCCCGGAACUGCUUUGGUAACUGUAAGGCUAGAGUGCAGGAGAGGUAAGUGGAAUUCCUAGUGUAGCGGUGAAAUGCGUAGAUAUUAGGAGGAACACCGGUGGCGAAGGCGGCUUACUGGACUGUAACUGACGUUGAGGCUCGAAGGCGUGGGGAGCAAAC
rnacentral:rRNA from 1 species